rnacentral:rRNA from 1 species
GAUGAUCUAUCUGAUUGUACAUCCCAUUGGAUAACCGUGGGAAAUCUAGAGCUAAUACAUGCGUUGAUAUAAUGUAUUUGGAGGCAUUGUAAAAGAUGUACUUGAAUACAUUAAGCAUUUAUUAGUGUAAACCAACUAUUGUAAUAUGUGAUAUAUUACAGUGUGGGUGAAUCUAGAUAACUUUGCUGAUCGUAGUGGCGUAAUAUGCCGGCGACGUUUCAGUUGAAUUUCUGCCCUAUCAAUUGGUUGGUAAGGUAGUGGCUUACCAAGGUUGUAACGGGUAACGGGGGAUCAGGGUUCGAUUCCGGAGAGGGAGCCUGAGAAACGGCUACCACAUCCAAGGAAGGCAGCAGGCGCGCAAAUUACCCAAUCCAGACAGUGGGAGGUGGCAACGAGAAUUACUGGGUGGUAGCCUUUAUGGUUAUCGACUUAGAAUGAACGUGAUUUAAGAAAUCCGUUGAGUAACAACUGGAGGGCAAGUCUGGUGCCAGCAGCCGCGGUAAUUCCAGCUCCAGUAGCGUACCUCAAAGUUGCUGCGUUUAAAACGCUCGUAGUUGGAUCACAUGGUUAGGUAUCAGUGAAUUACCAUGUUGGCACAAAAAAUCCUCAAGUGUAGGUGUGACGGUGUGCUAUCACCGUUGCAAUUUAUAUAUUGUGGAGUGCUGCAUGUUGAUUGUUAGCUGAGCCUAACUGAUUGCAUAUGGGGAUGGUGAUUGACCUUUAGUGAGUCGAUCAUCGUGUCCCAUGGAGUGUGCCUUGAAUAAAACAGAGUGCUUAAAGCAGGCUUGACGCCUGAAUGUUAACAGCAUGGAACGAACAAUUGUGGCAACAUGAUGUCGUGCUGAUUGGGCGAUAUACUUUUAUGUGUGUCGUUUCAAUUAGUCGAGAUCAUAGCACCAACCACCAAUAUCGGAUGUUGGUUCCGUAUUGGGGUGAUGAUUAAGAGGAGCGGUUGGGGGCAUUGGUAUUUUGCCGCGAGAGGUGAAAUUCUUGGACCGGCAAAGGACUAACAAAUGCGAAGGCAUUUGCCUAGACCGCAUCCAUUAAUCAAGAACGAUAGUGGGAGGUUCGAAGACGAUCAGAUACCGUCCUAGUUCCCACCGUAAACUAUGCCCACUCGGGAUCAGUUUGGUGCUAAUACUAAACGCUCGAAGUUGCUCCCCCUGGGAAACCUUAAGUUUUUCGGUUACGGGGGGAGUAUGGUUGCAAGGCUGAAACUUAAAGGAAUUGACGGAAGGGCACCACCAGGGGUGGAGCCUGCGGCUUAAUUUGACUCAACACGGGGAAACUCACCCGGUCCGGACAUCGAAAGGAUAAACAGAUUAAAGGUCUUUUUUGAUACGGUGAUUGGUGGUGCAUGGCCGUUCUUAGUUCGUGGAGUGAUCUGUCAGGCCUAUCCCGGUAACGAACGAGACCACAAUCUUCAUUUGAGUAGCAACAGAAUUCAACAAGCACUCUCUGAUGGGUGGCAACACUUAUCAGAGGGUGUUUCUUGAGAAGCAGAAAAGCGGCUUGGGUCGUGAGUGGCAACAUUUCAUGGCCCANGCUGCUGAUCUCUAUGUUGCCGAGCAGUGGGAGACCGAAAGGUUGAACACUGUAUCAUGAAGAGACAACUGUGGAUAUAACAAAGACAGAGGAAGUGUGGCAAUAACAG